AACGCGAAGAACCUUACCUGGCCUUGACAUAGUAAGAACUUUCCAGAGAUGGAUUGGUGCCUUCGGGAACUUACAUACAGGUGCUGCAUGGCUGUCGUCAGCUCGUGUCGUGAGAUGUUGGGUUAAGUCCCGCAACGAGCGCAACCCUUUUCCUUAUUUGCCAGCGAGUAAUGUCGGGAACUUUAAGGAUACUGCCAGUGACAAACUGGAGGAAGGCGGGGACGACGUCAAGUCAUCAUGGCCCUUACGGCCAGGGCUACACACGUGCUACAAUGGUCGGUACAAAGGGUUGCUACACAGCGAUGUGAUGCUAAUCUCAAAAAGCCGAUCGUAGUCCGGAUUGGAGUCUGCAACUCGACUCCAUGAAGUCGGAAUCGCUAGUAAUCGUGGAUCAGAAUGCCACGGUGAAUACGUUCCCGGGUCUUGUACACAC
rnacentral:rRNA from 1 species